rnacentral:lncRNA from 1 species
AUUUCUUAGCUGGAUGGGUGAAGUGUUCCCUCAGUUCACAUAGACCAGGCUUCCUCUUUAGAGGCAUAAGCUGUAAAACAGGAGAGUCUGUUUUAAGAGGAUCUGUUUGAAGUUUAAUGUAACUGAAGUCCAUGCACCUGAAGCCAUUAAUUGAUAUAAGUGAAGUAAGUCUUUGGGUUUCCGGUAGCUCUGACUCAGAUUCUGCUUGCCUCUUCUCCAUGAGAUUACCAAGGCAUCAGGGCAGAGACUCCCUGAGGAUGAGUGGAUCUGGUUCAGAACAUCUGUGAACACAGAGGGAGUGGAAACUUCACUUUCAACAUCAUCAGCCAACUUCCCUCCCAUUACAAUUCUAUCUCAAGAUCAAGGUCAUGCAACAAAACCAGCAGAGAUGCUAAAGAACAAUGAACAAUUACAUGUUCAAAAAGCAAGCAGAAAACGAAGAAUGAGGAAUAAAAGACCUGUUUAAUCUUAAAAUUAGAUAAGUAAUAUUUGAAUAAUUGUGCUUUGACUAGAAUAAUAGCAUAGCUUCUGCCCAUGACGGACCCUUGAUAAAUGUUUGCUUGAGUGAAUAAAAGAACUGAC